GAUGAACGCUGGCGGCGUGCCUAAUACAUGCAAGUCGAGCGAACAGAUGAGGAGCUUGCUCCUCUGACGUUAGCGGCGGACGGGUGAGUAACACGUGGAUAACCUACCUAUAAGACUGGGAUAACUUCGGGAAACCGGAGCUAAUACCGGAUAAUAUAUUGAACCGCAUGGUUCAAUAGUGAAAGACGGUUUUGCUGUCACUUAUAGAUGGAUCCGCGCCGCAUUAGCUAGUUAGUAAGGUAACGGCUUACCAAGGCAACGAUGCGUAGCCGACCUGAGAGGGUGAUCGGCCACACUGGAACUGAGACACGGUCCAGACUCCUACGGGAGGCAGCAGUAGGGAAUCUUCCGCAAAGGGCGAAAGCCUGACGGAGCAACGCCGCGUGAGUGAUGAAGGUCUUCGGAUCGUAAAACUCUGUUAUUAGGGAAGAACAAAUGUGUAAGUAACUAUGCACGUCUUGACGGUACCUAAUCAGAAAGCCACGGCUAACUACGUG
rnacentral:rRNA from 1 species